rnacentral:misc_RNA from 1 species
GAUGAAGAACGCAGCGAAAUGCGAUACUUGGUGUGAAUUGCAGAAUCCCGUGAACCAUCGAGUCUUUGAACGCAAGUUGCGCCCGAAGCCAUUAGGCCGAGGGCACGCCUGCAUGGGCGUCACACGUCGUUGCCCCCCCAUCUACUCCUUCGGGAUUGCGGGGGGCGGAUGAUGGCCUCCCGUGCGCCUCGUCGCGCGGUUGGCAUAAAUGCCAAGUCCUCGGCGACGCACGCCACGACAAUCGGUGGUUGCGAAACCUCGGUUGCCCGUCGUGUGCGGUCGUCGCGCAUCGAGGGCUCGAAAAAAUUGCCGGGCUCCGGCUCGGCUUUCAACGCGACCCCAGGUCAGGCGGGGUUACCCGCUGAAUUUAAGCAUAUCAAUAAGCGGAGGA